rnacentral:sRNA from 1 species
GGACUUUACGGCGUGCGAACGUGCGGUGGCAGUACUAAGACCAACAGCGGAUAAGAGCCAACUCAGAACGGCAAGCCAACGCUCAGCGGUUUUGAUUUUGUUGUGUGAUCUUGCGGCAUACCUGGCCAGCUAUUCAGGAGGCUAAGACGACUUGAAAGGAGCGUUUAGAACACGCACUCACACCCACACACACCAACUCCAAGGAGACCCCAGAGGCAGCCAACAGAAGGUCUACGAAGGACGAAGGACUAACGACACAGGACACCUCACAGGCCAAAUACUACUCCUGGUUAUUCGACUUCAAAGACGGCAACAACGGCGGCCAGAAUUUUCUCUCGUUUGGAUAGUGUCGAGGAGGUGCAACGCGGUCGCAGUGGCAGCGCUGUUGGAAUAACGCCGGCUGGCGGUCCAGGGGCGGCAGCAGCCGGAGCAGGUGCGG